rnacentral:rRNA from 1 species
CCUACGUGAGGCAGCAGUGAGGAAUAUUGGUCAAUGGACGAGAGUCUGAACCAGCCAAGUAGCGUGAAGGAUGACUGCCCUAUGGGUUGUAAACUUCUUUUAUAUGGGAAUAAAAUGUUCCACGUGUGGGAUUUUGUAUGUACCAUAUGACUAAGGAUCGGCUACCUCCGUGCCAGCAGCCGCGGUAAUACGGAGGAUCCGAGCGUUAUCCGGAUUUAUUGGGUUUAAAGGGAGCGUAGGGGGAUGGUUAAGUCAGUUGUGAAAGUUUGCGGCUCAACCGUCAAAGUGCAGUUGAAACUGGCAGUCUUGAGUACAGUAGAGGUAGGCGGAAUUCGUGGUGUAGCGGUGAAAUGCUUAGAUAUCACGAAGAACUCCGAUUGCGAAGGCAGUUCACUGGACUGCAACUGACACUGAGGCUCGAAAGUGUGGGUAUCAAACAGGAUUAGAUACCCCAGUAGUC